rnacentral:rRNA from 1 species
UAGGGAAUCUUCCGCAAUGGGCGAAAGCCUGACGGAGCAACGCCGCGUGAGAGAUGAAGGGCUUCGGUUCGUAAAACUCUGUGAGCAGGGAAGAAAAAAUGAGUAAGUAACGAUGCACGUCUUGAAGGUACCUAAAAAGAAAGCCACGGCUAACUACGUGCCAGCAGCAGCGGGAAUAAGCAGGUGGCAAGCGUUAUCCGGAAUUAGUGGGCGUAAAGCGCGCGUAGGCGGUUUUUUUAAUCUGAUGUGAAAGCCCACGGCUGAACCGUGGAGGGUCAUUUGACACUUGAAAACUUGUGUGCAGAAGAGGACAAUCGAAUUCCAUGUGUUGCGCCAAAAUGCGCAUCUUUCUGUUUGACCCCCAGUCUCGAAAGCGUCUUUCUGGUCUGUAACUGACGCCAAUGUGCGAAAGCGUGGGGAUCAAACAGG